rnacentral:tRNA from 1 species
CAUUAAGAAGCUAUGUACCAGCGUUAGCCUUUUAAGCUAAAGAAAGAGGACUUAACCCCUCCUUAAUGA